rnacentral:pre_miRNA from 1 species
AGCUUUCCGAAUCCGUGCUGAGAUUUCAUCAGAUACCAACCAAUUAGGGCUGAUUAGACUUCCAAGAUAAGUGAAGUU